rnacentral:rRNA from 1 species
CCUACGGGCGUCUGCAGUGGGGAAUAUUGCACAAUGGGCGAAAGCCUGAUGCAGCAACGCCGCGUGAGCGAUGAAGGCCUUCGGGUCGUAAAGCUCUGUCCUUAAGGAAGAUAAUGACGGUACUUGAGGAGGUAGCCCCGGCUCACUACGUUAAAGCAGCCGCGGUAAUACGUAGGGGGCUAGCGUUAUCCGGAUUUACUGGGCGUAAAGGGUGCGUAGGUGGUUUCUUAAGUCAGAGGUGAAAGGCUACGGCUAAACCGUAGUGAGCAUUUGAAACGGGGGAACUUGAGUGCAGGAGAGGAGAGUGGAAUUCCUGGUGUAGCGGUGAAAUGCGUAGAUAUUAGGAGGAACACCAGUUGCGAAGGCGGCUCUCUGGACUGUAACUGACGCUGAGGCACGAAAGCGUGGGGAGCAAACAGGAUUAGAUACCCCAGUAGUC